GAUGAAGAACGUAGCGAAAUGCGAUAAGUAGUGUGAAUUGCAGAAUUCAGUGAAUCAUCGAAUCUUUGAACGCACAUUGCGCCCCUUGGUAUCCCGAGGGGCAUGCCUGUUCGAGCGUCAUUACAACCCUCAGGCCCCCGGGCCUGGCGUUGGGGAUCGGCGGAAGCCCCCUGCGGGCACAACGCCGUCCCCCAAAUACAGUGGCGGUCCCGCCGCAGCUUCCAUUGCGUAGUAGCUAACACCUCGCAACUGGAGAGCGGCGCGGCCACGCCGUAAAACACCCAACUUCUGAAUGUUGACCUCGAAUCAGGUAGGAAUACCCGCUGAACUUAAGCAUAUCAAUAAGCGGAGGA
rnacentral:misc_RNA from 1 species